UAAGGAUGGGAGAGGAAGAAGACAACUUGUAUUUAAAGGAAUGCCGAGGCAUAUGUCUAGCACCUUGUUGAACGCUUUGUGUGCCAGAAGAACCCAGAUCAGAAGGCAAAAGUGUAUCCAACCUUAUACUAAUGUGGAGAAAGAAUCGCACAGUUGCUUCAAUCAAGACAACUGAUUUCUCAUCACUGCAACUGUCACCUGUUGCAGAUGGAUGCUCAGGCUGGUG